ACACAGAGCCGCAUGGUUGCUGUGUGAAAGGGUUAUCCGCUGUGGGAUGGACUCGCGGCCUAUCAAUCUUGUUGGUGAGGUAAUGACUCACCAAGGCGACGACGGGUAGCCGGCCUGAGAGGGCGACCGGCCACACUGGGACUGAGACACGGCCCAAACUCCUACGGGAGGCAUCAGUUGGGGAAUAUUUGCACAAUGGGCGAAAGCCUGAUGCAUCGACGCCGCGUGAGGGAUGAAGG
rnacentral:rRNA from 1 species